AAAGAAUGGAAGUGGGAGUGGCAUCAUUCACUACUGCGCCUAGUGACUCACAAGCAAAAUGUUUACUUCCUGUUUCCAUGACAUUAUGCUCUGCUGGCCUAGACGUCUUAGUUCCAGAGGAUGGAAUGCUUCACCAGGAGACACAAGAAUAAUUUCCUUGACCUGGGAGUUAAGACUGCCACCCAGCCACCUUGUGCUCUCCAUGCUGCUGAUUCAACAGGCAAAUAAGGAAGUUAUGGUGUGGGCUACAGUGAUUGAUCUGACUAACAAGAGGGAAAUUGCUCCACCAUGGGGGUGAGGGAGAGUACAUCUGGAAUACAGAAGUUCCCUUAGGACACCCUUAGUGUUCCCACACAUUGCGAUUAAGGCCAGUGGAAAACUACAAUAACUCAGUUCAGGCGGAACAACUCAUGGGGCAGAAUCUUCAAGGAAUGAAGAUUUGAGUCCUUCUACCAGGUUUUGCAGAGUGCCUCCAGAAAUAAAAGUGUUACAAAAGAAUCACUUCAGAAAACCUACACUUAGAGAGUCCAUUUGAAAAUUGCCCUAUUUGAAAUGAAGUGGAGAUCAGUAAUAACAAGGACUUCCCCAUAUAACCCAAGGUCCUACUGGGUUAGUGUGAUCUUCUGCGGAAGGCUGCAGCUGCUGUCAGGAGGCCCUCUGUCUACACUCCUCUCUGGAGAAGUGUCCCUUUUAAACUGAAGCAUAGUGAGAACAAGUGUAAAGCACAACACAGACGGAAGAUUGCACCUUAGCUCACUGCCCCGUGCACCCCGGUUACACCGUCUAAGAAAACACUCUGGAUUCAAUCCUUGGAAAAGUAGUAUGUGCUGAGCUACCACUUCUGGAAGAGUCUUUCCUGGUUAAUUACUUGAAACCUGUUGCAUUGGGAAUUUCUCAGAAAGUCUGCCUUGAUGAGCUUUACUCAAGAGCCGCAACUUCACGGAUCGGACAACAGAAAAGACUUCGGCAGUUACCAAAUCUGAAGUACUCAUUGUGCAUGCUAGCAAUCUGGGACUAAUAAGGUUAAAUUGUCUGAGACCUCAAGGUGGAAGUGACAGAAAGAAAUGGCCACAACUAAGAAAUAAGAAACAAGUUUGGAGAUG
rnacentral:lncRNA from 1 species